AUUGAACGCUGGCGGCUGGCUUAACACAUGCAAGUCGAGCGGAGAUGAGGUGCUUGCACCUUAUCUUAGCGGCGGACGGGUGAGUAAUGCUUAGGAAUCUGCCUAUUAGUGGGGGACAACAUUCCGAAAGGAAUGCUAAUACCGCAUACGCCCUAUGGGGGAAAGCAGGGGAUCUUCGGACCUUGCGCUAAUAGAUGAGCCUAAGUCGGAUUAGCUAGUUGGUGGGGUAAAGGCCUACCAAGGCGACGAUCUGUAGCGGGUCUGAGAGGAUGAUCCGCCCAACUGGGACUGAGACACGGCCCAGACGCCUACGGGAGGCAGCAGUGGGGAAUAUUGGACAAUGGGCGGAAGCCUGAUCCAGCCAUGCCGCGUGUGAGAAGAAGGCCUUCGGGUUGUAAAGCACUUUCAGUAGGGAGGAAGGGUUAAGUGUUAAUAGUACUUAACUUUGACGUUACCUACAGAAGAAGCACCGGCUAACUCUGUGCCAGCCGCCGCAGUAACAC
rnacentral:rRNA from 1 species